UUCUGGCUCAGGGUGACAGCCAAAGUCAGCGCAAUGACUUCUAAAGCCCCCAGAGCACAACCUCUCAACUCCCGUGGGGCAGGAGGCUGGGGCGGCCACAGCCCGUGACCUCCGGCGGCCGGGAAUCCCGUCCGAGCUGCUGCAGGAUAACUGCGCCUUCCGAAAAUUAGAACCUCAAUCUCAUUUGGAACACAGAUAGAAGAAAGAUGGUGACAAUGAAGAAUUUGAAGACAUCUCCAGCAAAAUUCUCACUCAGGGAUCGUGUGUUGUCAUGGCAGUCAUAAACUCUGACAUAAACCAGGGUCUGGUAAGUGAUUGCAUGCCUUCACCCCGCGCCAUGCGGCUGUCCCCAUGCCUGUCUGCUUGACCCACUGCACUGUCUACAUGCCAUCG